rnacentral:misc_RNA from 1 species
GCAGACAGUUGUAGAGAGAAAGCCAAAGCAACCAAAUCCCAAGUUCAGGCUCAGCCUCAGGCUCAGGCUCAGGCCCAGACUGCUCUUCAACGCAGAUGCAGACGGCGGUAUCGCCACCCGCAACCUAGAGUUUCCUUUCUUCCGAUUACCUCUCUCAAUUCCCUUUCCCCUCCAUGGGGAUUCUCUCCUCUUUCCUCCUUACUACCUAGGGUUUUCCAUCUUCCUUCUCUUCUUUCCCUCUUUUGCAUGACACUUACCAAUUUCCUACCUACCUCCGAGAUCUGUCAUCAGAUUCCCUAGAAUGGCCUCCUCCGAGGUUUCGAUCAACCCCAAUUCCGCCUCCUUCAACGACCAUACCGAUUCUACCAAAGACACCUCCGAUCCACCCAACGCUCUCUCUGUCAGGGAUGCUGAUAUCGCCCUCUACACCGAGCUUUGGAAU